rnacentral:tRNA from 1 species
GCCGCCGUAGUUCAAUGGAUAGAACGGGGACCUCCUAAGUCUCAGAUGUGGGUUCGAUUCCCGCCGGGGCGCCA